rnacentral:lncRNA from 10 species
AGUGAAGAGGUGCCAGAAUCCGCGAAGAGGGUCGACGAAUGCGCUGCCGCGGAGGGCCGUGGAAGAACUUGCCGAUGGAGGGACCACAGAGGGAUCUAUGGGAGAACAACGGCAACUGCAGGAGAGUCUCUGCACCCUACAAUACACCAACUGGCAGUUCCAUCAUUUGAAAGAAAAUCUUCAAGGUUUAAGACCUGUGACACAGACUGAAGCUCUCCUGGCAUACUCUGAAGCUCUCCUGGCACCCUCCCCUUUAUGCUUCACAGGUGUUUCUCCUAAUAAAUUUCUUGUAUGUCUCAUCCCAUCUGGG